CGCUAUUCUCCGCGUUCUCAUCAGAUUAUAAUCUGCUGGGAUAUAUAGGAGGCUGUUACGACGGAGAUUACCGGCGCUGCUCGCAAGUCCAUCGUGUGCGGUUCAGGAAUGAUUUGUAGAAACAGCAGGUGUAGUCGCAAAAAAGAAGACAAAAUGGACGUCGGAACGACGCGGCUUCCUGCAAGGUUGGAGUGCCUUUCAAUAAGUAGGACGGCCUGAACAUCAGUAGGCAAC